rnacentral:rRNA from 1 species
UACGUAGGGGGCAAGCGUUGUCCGGAAUCAUUGGGCGUAAAGCGCGUGUAGGCGGCCCGAUAAGUCCGCUGUGAAAGCCCGGGGCUCAACCCCGGGAGGCGGGUGGAUACUGUCAAGCUCGAGUCCGGAAGAGGAGUGUGGAAUUCCUGGUGUAGCGGUGAAAUGCGCAGAUAUCAGGAGGAACACCAAUGGCGAAGGCAGCACUCUGGGACGUGACUGACGCUGAGACGCGAAAGCGUGGGGAGCGAACAGG